UACACGCUCACACCUAUACGGAGGAGUUGUAGACUUCCUCCUCUCUCAGAUCUAUUAACUUAUAUUUUCCAUAUAUGUAUAUUAGUUUGUGGAGAUUUGUAUCUGUUGCGGCGGGUUCUGAUUCGCUUGGUGCAGGUCGGGAACUUUCUCCGCCGCCGGCGUGGUCUGCACGUUGGAUUAAUGAAAGUAUGCUCCGAAGCAGUAAGACUGCUUACGAGUAUACGUAGUACGAUGCGGUUGAAAAAUUUGAUAUCGUUCUUUCUGGUGAAAGAUCAGGUUCCCGCCUUGCAUCAACUGAAUCGGAGACCGCGGUGAAUGCGAUAAGUACGGCGCUGUAUUGUGUCGGACUCAGAUGGAUCCAAUAUUGAGUUAGCUGUGGUGUAAAUUUGCGUUUUGUUUGAUAUUGUUCGAUGGAGUGUCACCUGGAUCUGAGUUAUUUUUUUUUUCUUAAGCGCGUAAUCUGAUUGACAGAUCUUGUUUUCUUUUUUCAGUGGAAGAGGCUUGAUUAUUCAGUUGUUGUUGCAUCACAUGGAACAGUUUCCUUUUCUGAAACAAUCGGUGGGUUUUUUUAGAUUCUCCUAUAGGUAAACAAGGACUAUUGCCAGUGUCGGAAAGAGAAAUCGGCGUAGGUUCGGAUUCAACUUUAAUAUGCGGGUUAAUUUUCGAUGGAAGUUACUUUUAUUUACCUAUGGUGCUGUAAUCGUGUUUACCUUCGUGAAAGAUCCGAGAUUGUUAUUUCUUUUGAUGUGCUUUUAGGCAGGUUCUAGAUGUCGUAGCGAGUAACAGAGUUAUUGGGAGAACUUGAUGCUGAGUUGUAACUUGUGGCUUCAAGAAUUUGGAGGUGCUUUGUUUUUUUCUUUUUCCCCCUCUUUCCCCGCUUUAGCUCUUUCGUGAAUUAUCUUUUUAUGUUAUGCGUCUUCCUGUCCACUUAAAAUUCACCUUGGUAAUUGAUUUUUCCACUUAUAAUAUGAGUUGAAGAUCUUGCUCUCUCUGAAUUGAUUUGUCGAAUCUUGGUUUUUGAAUAUAUUGUUUUGCCUCUUAUUUUUGUUAGUUAGAGAGAGAAUGAUUCAGAUAAGCCUGAUUUCUGAUCAUUGCAUCAUUUUCUGCAUCCAGUAUCCACCAAUGCACAUGAUUCAAAUGGAAACUGGUUUGAGAUAUGAGCUUGGUUUCUUCAAUAAAAUGCCUGUCAUUGCCUACAGCAUCUUGUCAUUUGUGUUUCAUUGGAUUAGUUUUGGUUUGUUUUUUAUAUGUUUAAAUGCCAUGUGAAUUUAUAGAAAUUUGUAUCCUUCUUCAUGAGUGAGGUUUUGGAUUGUUGUUAGAUGAGGUAUUUUUGUUUGUCUGCUUGUGGUCUGAGGGGAUAAGUCAGCAUGAUCUACAGAGAAUCCUGUGUUUUCCAUUGUUCAUUUAUGCUAUACAAUUGUAGGUAUACAUGUGGGAACAUUCUGAGUUUUGAUGCUCUGUCCACUCGGUACUUGUCUUAUAGAAUGAAGACAAGUUUUCAGGUGGCAUUUCUGAAUAAAUUAAAGUUGAAACCUGUAGUAUAAGCCUUUUAGUUUAGCAUCUUCUUGUUAUUGUGUUUGUAGAACUAAAUGACUGAGAAUCUUACUUUGAGUUCUACUUUAGAAGUUGAAUAGAGAUUAAUUAUCAUUUUAAUGCUCCAUCUGAAUACAUAAUCUAUUGGUCAUUUUUGCAACCUCAAGUAAUGGUUAAGGCGUUAAGCAUGCUUGUCGAUGCAUAAUAAGCAUUUUUCACUUAAAGCCAGAAGAGCUCUACUUAAUGGAUCAUGCAGACUGUCAAAGGCAGAAUAAGUAGGACACAAGUCUACUUUCCCUUAUGAACUUGCUCCAUGUGGUGUAUACCGAUGCACUCAUAAGUUGAUAUUGAUCAUAUUCAUAAAAAAAAGGAUUUUGAUCAUUCUCUUAAUGCAUAAUUUUGGUUGUAGUGUAAUGUGGUACUGAACAAGAAUGCUACCGGUAUAGUAUACUCUCUUAGAUAUGGUAUAUUCUACAAACCAGUUAUCCUUCUUUCAGUUAGAUAUUUCCUUCAUUGUGAGGGGUAUUUUCUAUUAGUUAGUUUAAACAGAUUGCUAUAAUAUAAUGACAUCUGACAAGCAUACAUAUUUUGUGCAGUGUAUUUAUAUAUGCGUGCUUUAGCUGAGUUUUUUUGCAUCACUUAUCUCCUAGAUUUUUCAUACUUGGAUUGGGCAGAUGAAGCCAGUGCAUCUGGUUUCAGGUUUUAUGUGCUCAUAUAAUAUAUUAUGUCUUGUGUCUCUAAGGCUUAGAGUUCUCUCAAUUUUUCUUGUUGUUGUGUGAAUAGGUAGUAUGCCUGGAUGCUUCAUUUUGUCUACUUACAUCUGUUUUACUGUUUCAGUAGCGAAAGAUACAUGUAAUUCAGUCUGUUCACUGGGAUUUAGGCUCAUGUGAUGAGGGUCAUUUGUUGGCAUGUGAAUUAAACGUCAACCAUGUCAAAGUCCUCAGUGACAUUUCACAUUCCUCGCAUUUGUUAUUUGUGCAAAUUCGAUUUGGUGGCAACAUUAUAUUCUUUUAGUUGGUGGAAUCUCAUUUACGCUCUCCGUCUCUUGAUCCCUUCCAAACUUGAAACUUCCUUUCUAUCUUCUGCACUGCACACAGGGGACUAAUAAAUGAUUUCAUGAAGGUAAGUGGUCCACAUUUGGUUUCUGAUAUAGAAAAUUGCUCUACCAAGAACAAGCAAGACAAGUGAAGAGUUUGCUAAUUGGUGCGCAAUGUACAUUGUCGUUUGACUUAUAUGGAAAGUGAUGGUAAAGGAGCAUCGCUCGAAUCACAUGCAAUGUGUGGUGUACAACGUCAUGAAUACCCAAGAUAACACCAAACAGAAGGCUGGAGGUGCAAGCUGAAGCUGUCUCGACUCAUCAUGCUUUCUAAAGUUAAUUGCAUUUUGUCUUGUGAGGGCAACUUCUACUACUGUAUAAUAUACUGUACUGUGAGGGAGUUUGGUAACCAAUUCCAUUGACAGAUUAUUGGGGUCCGGGGACUAUAUGUAAAGAGAAAUGAGAAUUCUUGUAGCCGGUGGGUGGGAACGUGUAGUGAGUGCAAGGUAGUCUCCUUCUUCCCUUGAGAAGAAACCACCAAAACUCCGCUUCAAUUUAAGCCCAAGAUAAUUGGCUUUGCUGAACUGUGUGCGCAUGGACACCUGAAUUGAUUCAAUUACUUUUUGCCAAUGAAACUAAAAUCAUUCUCAUAAAAACAUAACAAUAAUAAUUACAUUGCUAAGUUUAGUAAUUUUAUGCAAGACUUUACAUGGUUUAAUAGAUUACUUUCAGUUCUUUUGACGUUUAUUUUUAGUCAACUAAUAAAUUCUCAUUCAUCAAAAUUCAUGGAAUUUGUUAAAAAAUAAAUAAAUGAGAAUUUUUUUUAUUUUCAAUUAAUUUAUUAUUAAAUUAUUAUAGGUUGCAUCUCGAGUUGUUUGUCAGGGUUUCAGGUAGAAAUGCGACUUUAGGAGGGGACUGUUCGAUCGACGCAAUUGAUCUGGAGCAUCCAAUCGAGGGCACAAUUGAAUUGGGGAAAGAAUUAGGGAUUUCAGCAGCGAGUGAUGACGUUUUUGAAGGAAUGGGGCAAAAUCAAAUUAAGGCUGAGAUUGGGGAUUUCGCACCUGGGUUUAAUGUUGGAAAGAAGGUAAUAGUUAGACACGCGGAGCGAGAGGAUGGGGCGUAGCUGGCUGGACUAAAGUUGCUGCCUGAAGACCUUUUGUUGAGGGAAAUUUGCAGACAACUGUGACUGGGAAGAAGAAAGAGGAUAACAGUAUUUCCUAUUUUAGAUGUAAUUUAGUUUCUAUUUUUUUGUCGAAUUUCCUUGAAAAACUUUGUAAAAGGGGACGAAGGGUUAAAGGAACAAAUUAUUGGUAAAUGAA